UUUAGAUUAAUUAAUACAAGUAGGGUUAUCAAUUUUUCUAAUAUAUGGAGAUAAGACGCAGAAGUAAUCGCUCUACUUGUUAUUUGUUUAAGGAAAAUAAUAAUCACAUUAACACUUUUCCAAGAACCACCAAAAACAUUAUUGACCUUUGCUUUUGUCUCUGGGGGAAGCACUCGAAUAUGGCAAUAAAAUAAACCGCAAUGAAUAAAACAAUUUACAUAAUGAUUAUGUUAAUUAUAUACGCACGUAAGCUUUUUGACCAGACAUUCUGAUUCAUGACGAUCGAUGUAAAUAUUGCGCAGCGAAAUGAGACAAAACGUAAACACCAGUGUUUGAGGAAAAGCAUCUUUUUUAUUUACACAUAAUUAUCCUGUUCAGGUAGGUGCGUAAUAAAUAAGAAAUAACCCGCUUAUGACACAUACACAGUAUAAAUAAGGUGUGAGGCUGUGGAAGCUCCACAGUUGACACAUCUUCGUCUCGCUGCAAUCGUCUCUCGACAUCAAGUACUCCAGUACAAUGGCUGCCCUCAAGACCACCCUCGUGCUGCUCCUCAUUGCCUUCGCGAUGUUGGCCUCCGUCGGCGCCGUCCGUGUGGGCCCCUGCGACCAGGUCUGCUCCCGCAUCGACGCUGAGAAGGACGAGUGCUGCAGGGCUCACGGGUACAGCGGGUACAACAGCUGCCGAGGCGGUAGAAUGGACUGUUACUGAUGAUGACAACUUUGCCCUACCGUAUUCAUGACUUGAACAACUCUGCUGCCUUCUAAAACUUCGGUAUUUUUAUGAUAUCGAUAUGUUUGUCGAUAUAGAAUCUACGUAAAUAAUGUAAUUAUAAUUAUUAAAUAUACAUAUUUAGUUUAAAUAA